rnacentral:lncRNA from 1 species
UUUCUUGUCAGUUUCUUGUUAUGUGGUAACUAUACACCCUGCCUAAAGAUGAAUAUUUUUCUACUGGUAUUUCAGUUUGUGACCUAAAUGUUUAGGCAUUCAGAGUGAGAGAACUAUCCAGAUUUGAGAGACGAUGCUUAAUUUAUAGAGGUUUUUAGUAACUUGUAAAACUAACAUUAGUAUAUGCCAAAGCUUGCUAAGUUUUACAGUCAGAGAUCAAGGGCUGUCCACAGCAGGAAAGAACAGUUUAGAAAAUUUAUGAGGUAUCCUAUUUUUAGGUAGGUUAUGAAAGUUAUUUGUCUGAGUGAAUUCUUGUGCUUUGGUCAGAGGUAACAACCAUACAAAGGAGUUGCUUAUCUUGGCUUUCAAGUCUGACUAAACUCUUUGCAAAUUUUGACAUAGUUUAGUUUAUUAGCAGCCUUCUUAGAAGGUUCUAAUGUAUAAUUAUUUAGCCAAGAUCACUAGCUUUUGGAAUUGUUUAAUAAUGCUGCUCAUUGUGAUCUUUACCUGCAAUUAGCCUAAUUUAGAUUGUUAUAGCCAAAAGAAGUGUCUCUAAAAAUAAUUUUUAUCAUUUUUAAUGUACAACUAUCCACUGGUCACCCAUAUGCUCUGUUUUUCAUGCUGAUAGCCCGUGACCAGAAUGAGCCUUCUUGUGUGGCUGAUCCAGUUGAUUGAGUAAUGGGUGAUCUACCUAAUCUUGUUGUCUUCUAAUUUUUUCACUUGAGGAGAAAGUAUGGGUCACUUUCUUUGGCAACAGGGCAUAAGGUGAGAGUUUUGGUGGCCGCCUUCUAGGUUUUUCGGUGGAAGCCAGCCUGCAGUAAGGGAAUGCAACUAGAGAUGGAAGUCAUUUGAGGUCACACUGUUGAGAGAUUUCACGGUGGGAAUUUGGUAAGUGAAAGGUCAGUCACACAAAAGAGUUAAUUGAGAUGGUGAAAUGGUGAAAUGGAGUAUCUGCAGAUUGUCUAUGAAGUAUUGAAAUGGGUCUACUUUUCAAUUGUGCAUUACAGACCUUUGGCGGUGUAGAAUCAGCAUUGAUAACUGAUGCCGCUACCCCUCUGCCCCCACAAAACUAUCAGUGUGUCUUAUAAAUUAUUUCUUGGUCCUUCUGUUUCAAUAACAUGUAGAUGCACUGGUGUCACCAGUGUUUGGGGCCUUGUGGCUUUGGUAGCAGCCAAGCAUGCUCAUUGCUAUUGUUCAGUGCAGUCUAAUUGUUUGAAAAGUCAGUAAUUCAUCAGUUUACAACCUACUUGGUGGACCAGGGAAAUGAGAUGGAAGAACCCUGCCAUCAGUUGCUGUAAACAGACAUACGUUUUGUUCUGCUCCAGCUCUCUGUGUAGUCCUAAGUAAAGUGUUUAUGUCAGCUUCAGUGACUAGUUGAAAAGCCACUGAAUUGGGUCCUCAUCGCAUGCAUAUUUUUAAAUUGGCUUGUGCUGUGGCGCUUCUGAUUGAUUUUAAAGUGGAUCUUGUCUGUGGGUUAGUAGCUCUUAAAUCUGUUUGUGCUAGAAACACCUGAGACUAACUCUCUUCCUACCCUGAACAGUUA